rnacentral:rRNA from 1 species
UCUGGUUGAUCCUGCCAGUAGUGAUAUGCUUGUUUCAAAGAUUAAGCCAUGCAUGUCUAAGUAUAAGCGAACUUAUACAGUGAAACUGCGGAUGGCUCAUUAAAACAGUUUGAAUUUAUUUGAUGAAUGUAUGAGAAUACUACUUGGAUAACCGUAGUAAUUCUAGAGCUAAUACAUGCAACGACGCCCGACCGUUUCACUACGGAAGGGCUGUAUUUAUUGGAUACCAAAACCAUCCUUCCCUCGGGAAGUUUUGUUUGAUGAUUCACAAUAACUGAUCGGAUCGCCACUGUGGUGGCGACAGGUCAUUCAACAUUCUGCCCUAUCAGCUUUCGAUGGUUGUGUAGUGGACAACCAUGGCCAUAACGGGUAACGGAGAAUCAGGGUUCGAUUCCGGAGAAGGAGCUUGAGAAUUGGCUACUACAUCUAAGGAAGGCAGCAGGCGCGCAAAUUACCCAAUCCCGAUUCGGGGAGGUAGUGACAAAAAAUAACAAUACCGGGCCUUUUUGGGCUUGGUAAUUGGAAUGAGGGAGAGUUAAACGGACCAUCGAGUAUCCAUUGGAGGGCAAGUCUGGUGCCAGCAGCUGCGGUAAUACCAGCUCCAAUAGCGUAUAUUAAAGUUGUUGCAGUUAAAAAGCUCGUAGUUGGACUUGUGUGCGCUGUCCGCGGGUGGCCUGCGCCCAAAAGGGCGUUUCGGUUCGGCCCCGGUGGCGCCUUGAAAUCUGCAGCUGGGGGGACGUUGGCCUUAACUGGUCGGCGACCGCACGCCGGCUGCUCGGUUACUGUGAGAAAAUUAGAGUGUUCAAGGCAGGCAUUGGGUGCAAUUGAAUACAUUAGCAUGGAAUAAUAAAAUAUGGCUCCUGCCGUAUUUUGUUGGUUUUGACUGGUGGGAGUAAUGAUUGAUAGGGACGGUUGGGGGUGCUAGUAUUGAGCGGCCAGAGGUGAAAUUCAUGGAUUCGCUCAAGACUAACUUAUGCGAAAGCAUUCACCAAGGACGUCCUCUUUAAUCAAGAACGAAAGUUGGGGGAUCGAAGACGAUCAGAUACCGUCGUAGUCUCAACCAUAAACUAUGUCGACUUGGGAUCGGCGGUAGUUUUUUCAUUAAGACACUGUCGGGACCACGGGAGAAAUCAAAGUGUCUGGACUCUGGGGGAAGUAUGGUCGCAAGGCUGAAACUUGAAGGAAUUGACGGAAGGGCACCACCAGGAGUGGAGCCUGCGGCUUAAUUUGACCCAACACGGGGAAACUUACCAGGUCCAGAGAUGUAGAGGAUUGACAGAUUGAAGCUCUUUCUUGAUCACUUCGGUGGUGGUGCAUGGCCGUUCUUAGUUGGUGGAGUGAUUUGUCUGGUUA